ACGGCUCAGUAACACGUGGAUAACCUACCCAAGAGUCUGGGAUAACCCCGGGAAACUGGGGAUAAUACCGGAUAGGUCAUUCGGGCUGGAAGGCUGUUUGGCUGAAACCUUUGGGGCUUUUGGAUGGGUCUGCGGCUGAUUAGGUUGUUGCCGGUGUAACGUACCGUCAAGCCUGUAAUCAGUACGGGUUGUGGGAGCAAGAGCCCGGAGAUGGAUUCUGAGACACGAAUCCAGGCCCUACGGGGCGCAGCAGGCGCGAAAACUUUACAAUGCAGGCAACUGCGAUAGGGGAACAUCGAGUGCUCAUCAUAUUGGUGGGCUGUCCAUCCGCCUAAAAAGCGGGUGUUAGCAAGGGCCGGGCAAGACCGGUGCCAGCCGCCGCGGUAAUACCGGCGGCUCGAGUGGUGGCCGAUAUUAUUGAGUCUAAAGGGUCCGUAGCCGGCUUUGCAAGUCUCUCGGGAAAUCCAGCGGCUUAACCGUUGGUCGGCCGGGGGGUACUACAUUGCUUGGGACUGGGAGAGGUAGGAGGUACUCAGGGGGUAGGAGUGAAAUCCUGUAAUCCUCUGGGGACCACCGGUGGCGAAGGCGUCCUGCCAGAACAGGUCCGACGGUGAGGGACGAAAGCUAGGGGCACGAACCGGAUUAGAUACCCGGGUAGUCCUAGCCGUAAACGAUGCUCGCUAGGUGUCGCAACAGUCGUGAAUUGUUGCGGUGCCGUAGGGAAGCCGUGAAGCGAGCCACUUGGGAAGUACGACCGCAAGGUUGAAACUUAAAGGAAUUGGCGGGGGAGCAC
rnacentral:rRNA from 2 species